GGCUUUUUGACAAUAAUUUAAGGUCUGACCUGCCCAAUGAUUAGAGUAUUAAAUGGCCGCGGUAUUUUGACCGUGCAAAGGUAGCAUAAUCAUUAGUUUUUUAAUUGAAAGCUUGUAUGAAGGGUUUAAUGAAAAAAUAGCUGUCUCUAUUUAAAUUUUUUAGAAAUUUAUUUUUAAGUUAAAAAGCUUAAAUGAACAUUAAAGACGAGAAGACCCUAUAGAGUUUUAUAAUUUUAUUAGAUUGUUAUAUUUUAGUAUUUUUUGACAAUUUUUUAGGAUUAUUUGGUUGGGGUGAUCGGAAAAUUGGUUGAACUUUUUUAUGUAAAAUUUCAUUGAUUUAUGGAUUUUUGAUCUUUUUUAAGGAUUAUUAGAUAAAAUUACCUUAGGGAUAACAGCGUAAUUUUUUUUAGAGUUCUUAUCGAAUAAAAAGGUUGCGACCUCGAUGUUGGAUUAAAAUUAAUUAUUGGUGUAGAAGCUAAUAAGCCAGGUCUGUUCGACCUUUAAAUUAUUACAUGAUCUGAGUUUAAACCGGUGUGAG
rnacentral:rRNA from 1 species